AUGCGCCACUCGACUUCGCUCAACUUCAUUACACGAGGAAGUGACGCUUCCUCGGGUUGACGAAGAAGCGACGCCUCUUUUGUGAGCAGACGUAUUCAAUAAAGAUUAAAAAAAAAAAAAAGAGCGUCCAUUGUGAGCAGAUGUGUUCAAUACAGUGAAAUUCCUCUGCAACGAAAUCAUGUUUGCAGCAA